GGUGGCAAAGAGGAUAAAAUAAACACAGAUUAUGCUACAGUUGGGACUCCAGAUAAUGGUCAAGCAGGUGGUGAAGAGCAGGUGUCUCCAGGUCCAACAACAUCCACCAUCUACAGUACGGUGGGACUACCCCAAACCCAGCCUGUGAACAACCAGCCUUUGCCUGUGGACCACCCAUGACCCCCAUGACCUCCAUGCCUUUUAAAUGUUCCCAUGUUCGUGUAGACAUUAAAAUAAAAAUGGUCACAUACAGGUGUAGACUAACAGUGAAAUGCUUACUUACAGGCCCUUCCCAACAAUGCAGAGAGAAAGAAAAUAGAGAAAUAAUGGAAAAGUAAAAAUCCUAUGAAUUAAUAAAUAAAUAAUAAAAACACCGUGAGUACAGAUAACUAUAUACCCGGGGUACCAGUACCCAGUCGAUGUGCCGGGGUACAAGGUAAUUGAGGUAGAUAUGUACAUAUAGGUAGGGGUAAAGUGACAGACAAUAAAACAGGAGCAGGAGCAUGUGUGAUGAGUCAAAAAAGGGUCAAUGUAGAUAGUCGCUAUUUAACUGUUUAGCAGUCUUAUGGCUUGGGGGUUGAAGCUGUUCAAGGUCCUGUUGGUUCCAGACUUGAUGCAUUGUUUUUAGUGACUUCCUGAUACUGCCUGGUAUAGAGUACCUGGAUGGCUCUGAGGGCCCAUGUCAAAUCUUUUCAGCCUCCUGAAUGGGAAGAGGCGUUGUGGUGCCCUCUUCACGACUGUGAUGUUGUAUUUGGACCAUGAUAUAUCCUUAGUGAUGUGGACAACAAGGAACUUGAAGCUCUCAACCCGCUCCACCACAGCCCGUCGAUAUGAAUGAGGGUGUGCUCGUCCUGUAAUCCUGUAUGUAAUUCCUGUAUCUUACCUCAUUUGCACUCACUGUAUAUAGACUUUUUGUUUUCUUUUGUUCUACUGUAUUAUUGACUGUAAGUUUUGUUUAUUCCAUGUGUAACUCUGGGUGGUUGUAUGUGUCGAAUUGCUAUGCUUUAUCUUGGCCAGGUCGCAGUUGCAAAUGAGAACUGUUCUCAACUAGCCUACCUGGUUAAAUAAAGGUGAGCUCUGUCUUGCUCAUGUAGAGGGAGCGGUUGUUGUCCUGGCAUCACACUGCUAGGUCUCUGACCUCUUCCAUAUAGGCUGUCUCAUCAGUUACAGACUGGGUCGGGGAGAUGUUGAAAAUGUCAGUGAAGACCAAGGGUUGGAACCGGUUCAGGGAACAGAACUGAGAACCGCAUUUUUCCAGUCCCACAGAAAUUGUAACAAAUCACUUACGUAAAAUCCUCACUCUGUCACUCAGUGUCUGCCUGCCAGCUGGAAAUCUUUACCAGUGUGUAUGUAUAUGUAGGCUACCUGCCCCUACACUCUGAAGCAUAGGUUACUGUAGCUUACUGACAUUACAAGCGUAAUUCAGAAAUGAGGGAAAGAUGUUUAAUUAGAGAAGAAGAUUAACUUUGUCAACGCUUUUAUCACGUUUCACGUUAAAUUUAUGAACUUCAAAAACUUAAGAUGUGUGUUUAAUUCUAGUGCUGCUCGGCACACACAAGCUGACGUUUGCUCUUGCCCAACGUUAAACCAACUUGGAAGUUCAAAGACAUUCAAAUGUUCCUCUGCAGAAGCCGCUCCUCCGUAGGUAUAAUUCUGUGGAACUAAUUCAGAUAAUGCACGUCAAGAUGCCCAGUGCUUCAAGGCAAGCUUCCUGCAUUCUUUUCCCUCACAUUCAACAUUUCAGUUCCAUCUCGCGCCCUUCACUGUGACUGGCAGCACAGUGUGUUUGUCUUUCAUUAUGAUUAAGCCAUGCUGUUAUGGCAAAAUACAAUUUGUUCUGAAUGACCUUCCUAUACAGAUUAAAUCGUUUACCCGCUCCACAUCAAGCUGCUCUAUCUGCACUGAUUGUUUAAGUAAUGUAAUGUCAAGCAAAAUGUAUAUUUCAGAUGUUUAAAAUGGAACUAAAAAACAGUUCUUGCUUUGUCAUUAUGGAAUAUUGGGUGGUAUUGUUAUGGGUUAUUAUGGGGUAUUGUGGGUUGAUUGAUAAGGGGAAAAAACGAUUUAAUCAAUUUUAGAAUAAGGCUGUAACGUAACAAAAUGUGUAAAAAGUCAAGGGGUCUGAAUACUUUCCAAAUGCAUUGCACGCUCCAUGGGAGCAACCAAUGUCUUAGACUAUUAGACCAAUAGGAAAUUCCCAGUUGGGCUGAGGGCAAACACUGGUUUUGAAGUUUAAAGGUGGUAUUACCUCAUCACGACACCAUGACCGACUCAUGUCCGUUGCACGAACAUAGAAGGCAUUUAGCUCCUCUGGUUGGCUCGCAUCACUGGGCAGCUCACGGCUGUGCAGCUCACGGCUGUCAUCCAUGAUGGUUUGCAAACCCAGCCGCAUCUGACGAGCGUCAGAACCGGUGUGGUAGGAUUCGAUCUUAGUCCUUUACUGACACUUUGCCAAUUUGAUGGUUUGCCUGAGGAUUUAGUGGGAUUUCUUAUAAGUGUCCAGACUAGUAUCCCGCUCCUUGAAAGCGGCAGCACUAGCCUUUAUCUCAGUGCGGAUGUUGCCUGUAAUCCAUGGCUUCUGGAUGGAAUAUGUACGAACGGUUACGGUGGGGACGACGUUGUCGAUGCACUUAUUAUUGAAGUUGAUGACUGAUGUGGUAAACUCCUCAAUGCCAUCAGAUAAAUCCCAGAACAUAUUCCAGUCUGUGCUAACGAAAGAGUCCUGAAGCUUAGCAUCCAUUUCAUCUGACCACUUCCCUAUUGAAAGUGUCACUGGUACUUCUUGUUUGAGUUAUUGCUUGUAAGCAGGAAACAGGAGGAUAUAGUUAUGGUCAGAUUUGCCAGAAAGGUGGUCUAGAGUGUUUCACUCUAGCAGGUGACAUGCUGAUAGAAAUGAGGUAAGGCAGAUUUCAGUUUCCCUGCAAUAAAAUCACCAGCCACUAGGAGUGCCGCCUCUGGACGAGCAUGUUCUUGUUUGCUUAUGCCCUUAUACAGUUCGUUGACUGCGGUCUUUGUGCCAGCAUUGUUUUUAUGGUGGUAAAUCGAGAGCAACGAAAAAUUGAUAAAAACUAUCUUGAUAGUAUGUUCUUGACUGCAUAUGUUCUACAGCUUAUCAUGAGGUAUUCUAACUCAGAACCUUGAGACUUCCUUGAUAUUAGAGAUAGCACAACAGCUGUUGUUAACAAGGACACACACCCCUGCCCUUGAGCUAACGAGAUGCUGCUAAUAUGGAAUCAUGUAAUAACCAAAAAAUUGUUAAACAAAUCCAAAUUUGAGAUUCUUCAAUUUAGCCACCUUUUACCUUGAUGACAGCUUUGCACACUCUUGGCAUUCUCUAAACCAGCUUCAUGAGGUAGUCACCUGGAAUGCAUUUCAAUUAACUUGUUUAAAGUUCAUUUGUGGAACUUAUUUCCUUCUUAAUGCGUUUGAGCCAAUCAGUUGUGUUGUGACAAGGUAGGGUUCGUAUGAAGAAAAUAGCCCUGUUUGGUAAAAGACCAAUUCCAUAUUAUGUUAUGUUAAGAACAGCUCCAAUAAUAAGCAAAGAAAAACAACAGUCCAUCAUUACUUUAAGACAUGAAAUUUUAAGAACUUUGAAUUUUCUUCAAGUGCAGUUGCAAAAACCAUUAAGUGCUAUGAUGAAAUUGGCUCUCAUGAGGGCCGCCACUGGAAAGGAAGACCCAGAGUUACCUCUGCUGCAGAGGAUAAGUCCCUUAGAGUUAACUGCACCUCAGAUUGCAGCCCAAAUCAAUGCUUCACCGAGUUCAAGUAACAGACACAUCUAAAAUUAAAUUAUCAUAGGAGACUGCGUGAAUCAGGCUUUCAUGGUUGAAUUGCUGCAAAGAAACCACUACUUAAGGACACCAAUAAGAAGAAGAGACUCGCUUGUUCCAAGAAAUACAAGCAACGAACAUUAGACCGGUGGAAAUCUUUCCUUUGGUCUGUUGAGUACAAAUUUUGCGGUUUUGGAACCAACCGCCAUGUCUUUGUGUGACGCAGAGUAGGUGAAUGGAUGAUUUGUGCAUGUGUGGUUCUAACCGUGGUUCUAACCGUGAAGCAUGGAGGAGGAGCUGGGAUGGUGUGGGAGUGCUUUGCUGGUGACACUGUCUGUGAUUAUUUAGAGUUCAUGGCACACUUAACCAGCAUGGCUACAAAGUAUUCUGCAGUGAUACGCCAUCCCAUCAGGUUUGCACUUUGUCCCACUAUCAUUUGUUUUUCAACAGUACAAUGACCCAAAACACACCUCCAGGCUGUGUAAGGGCUAUAUGACCAAGGAAAGUGAUGGAGUGCUGCAUCAGAUGACCUGGCCUCCCCAAUUACCCGACCUCAACCAAUUGAGAUGGAUUGGGAUGAGUUGGACCGGAGCGUGAAGGCAAGUGCUCAGCAUAUGUGGGAACUCCUUCAAGACUGUCGAAAAAGCAUUCUAGGUGAAGCUGGUUGAGAGAAUGCCAAGAGUGUGCAAAGCAGUGAUCAAGGCAAAAGGUGGCUAUUUAAUGUAUCUAAAAUAUAUUUGGAUUUAUUUAACACUUUUUUGGUUACUACAUGAUUAACCAUGGCCCUCAGCAACCCACCAAACCAACAGUGUUUGUUUCUGGGAAGUUCCUGUUUCAGGCUUGUGUGGUUAAAGUCCCAUGUAGAAACCAGGUGUUUCCUUUCAACCAUAGUGAUUCGGUUUAGCUAGUAUCUGUUGCGCCGUAUAUGCACACAGGCACUCGACACGAGGCAAACACCAGCCAAGAUGACUUAUAGGCAACUUCACGGGUUGAGUAAAAAGGCUUGCUGUUGACAAUAGAUUCUAGGAGUUGAAAAAGAUCUGGAAUUCCACUAAUGAUGAUGAUUAUAAUAAUAAUAGGUCUAUGUUGUCUGCGGCGAGGAGAGAAGGGCAGAAGUGAUUUGGACUUCUGCCAAGAGUAAGGAGAGAAGAGAAAGCAAUAAAUAUUUCCUCUCUUGUCUGUCAAGGAACUUUCAGAACAAAUGGACUGUUGCCUGUGAAAAGGGAUCCUCAAAGACAGUCAAGCCCACUCACACUGUACAUGCAAGCAUCCACCCACAGUACACACACUUUAGGUCACAGCUGGCAGAAUGACCACAUACCCGCGCAGGACAUAUACACACUUAUAUUUACACGUUCAUAUUUACAAACUCGUACAAUUACACACAAUGGUUAUAUGUGGACAGGCAAAUGGCAUCUCAGGGGAAAAUACACAUGCCUAAUUACACACACACACACACACACACACACACACACACACACACACACACACACACUCCGACACACACACAUUCCGACACACACACAUUCCGACACACACACAUUCCGACACACACACACAUUCAGACACACACACACACACACAUAUGCAAAUAGAAACACGCAGAAUAAAUUAACUUACACAAUACUGAUGGGUUAACCUCUUACUGCAGUGGGCUAAAUCAGGGUCACACAGAGUGUUUCUUGGUCGUCUUAAACCAAUCUACUUUAAAAAGUAUACACCUCACACACAUGGUUAUGGGCUUAAAUAAGAGAAGACAUUUACAUUUUGAGUUUCCAUCCCAAUAAUACACUUUAUAUACAACACAGAGGUUUGAAAAUUAACAAAACUGUUUGAGAUAGAAACAUCGGACUUUCAUCAUAAAUAAAUGUUUAUUUAUUAUGAAAUUCAGAAAAAUAUGAAUAACAUUCCACCAUGUGGCCACUAGAGGGUGAUUCGCUCAUUUUACUGAAGGUCUACUGCAUGCCUGCAUGACUGUAAGUCGCUUUGAAUAAAAGUCUCCUCAUUAGAUUAUAUUCUUUAUGAACAAGUGAUUAAACGAUUAAAAUACAUGAAUGACCAGAAGUGACAUUCAGCUAAAUAUAGGUUUGAAUGAGUACAUAAGGCUGUUUAGACAGGCAACCCAAUUCUGAUAUUUUCUUCACUCAUUUUACUUUUUACCAAUCACAUCAAAUCUUAUCACAUCAGACAUUUUUCAGAACUGAUUUGAUUGGUCAAAUGACCAAUUAGUGGAAAGAAAUACCAGAAUUGGGCUCCCUGUCUAAACGCAGCCAAACAGAGAAUUUUUGUAGAAAGGAAGAUAUGUUGUUGGCGGGGAUGGGACCGUGGAGCUGUCACUGAGAAAAGACUUCUUUAUGGCUCAACAGAUUUUAUUAUUUUUGUUUUAUUAUAUAUGUUUUAUAUUUUUAUAGUGUGAUACGUUUUUUUUUGCCCUUGAUUAUUGUAUUGCUUUGAAUUGUUUUAAAUAUAAUAUUUAAAAGGAAUCAUUAGGAUCUCUUUAUUGAAAAGUAUUUUCAAAGUAAUUUUGUUAGUUGUCUUUUUACUCUGAGAACCAUUUCAGCAAUACCGUAUUGUAGUUUUAAAAGGUAAGAUUUUUUUCUUGUUAUUAAUGCUUCUCAUUUAGUUGUAAUAGACAUAAACUGUGUAUUGGUAGUCCUAUAGUGAUGUGAGCUAAAGGAAGCUAAAAUAAUGUCAUAUACAUGUAUCUACAUUUAUCAUGCUUGUGUGAUUUUUGUGAUAAAACAGGGACUAUUUUAAGCUUGUCUGGAAUCUUGAAUAAAACUCAGUUCUGUUGUUCAGGA